rnacentral:rRNA from 1 species
UGGGGAAUAUUGGACAAUGGGCGCAAGCCUGAUCCAGCCAUGCCGCGUGUGUGAAGAAGGCCUGCGGGUUGUAAAGCACUUUAAGCAGGAAAGAAGGCUGUGGGGUGAAUACCCUCACAGAUUGACGUUACCUGCAGAAUAAGCACCGGCUAACUCCGUGCCAGCAGCCGCGGUAAUACGGAGGGUGCGAGCGUUAAUCGGAAUUACUGGGCGUAAAGCGCGCGUAGGCGGUUUGUUAAGUCCGCUGUGAAAGCCCUGGGCUUAACCUGGGAAUGGCAGUGGAUACUGGCAAGCUAGAGUAUGGUAGAGGAGAGUGGAAUUUCCGGUGUAGCAGUGAAAUGCGUAGAGAUCGGAAGGAACACCAGUGGCGAAGGCGGCUCUCUGGACCAAUACUGACGCUGAGGUGCGAAAGCGUGGGGAGCAAACA